rnacentral:ncRNA from 1 species
AAUAAAUCCAUGAUGAGGAUAAGUAGGUUGUUGCCCGCAGCAACAGAGAGCCGAUGGCUGGUGGAAAUCGGUGCUGUGGAAUAGCUGAAUGGACCUCGGAGUGCUGGGAGGAACCAUCUUAAGAUCAGCAAAGGUCGGUAUCUUAAGAUUCAAUGCCCAGCCGCUGACUCGGCGUUAUCGGAGUUCAAGGCUUAUGCAGUUCAGGCAUAAGCGAAUUAGGGUGGCACCACGGUCUUUCGUCCCUUUC